UGUUACUGAAGAUCCUGUAGCUAAACAAAAAUCGACCCCAGGUCAUGAAUCUGCAGCCUCCUUGAAACCGGUUUUAGGUGCUAAAACCGCAGCAGGUUCUCCACAGGACUUCCAUUCCAUCUUUCAUCCGGCACCCAUAGUUAAAGUCACUCAGGCAGAAGCCCACCACUCAACGCCCAAGGAGGCUGAUGAUCGCAACGAUAGCUCCGCUCCCGAAAC